CGUGUAGGCGGGGAUGCAAGUCAGAUGUGAAAUUCCGGGGCUCAACCCCGGCGCUGCAUCUGAAACUGUAUCUCUUGAGUGCUGGAGAGGAAAGCGGAAUUCCUAGUGUAGCGGUGAAAUGCGUAGAUAUUAGGAGGAACACCAGUGGCGAAGGCGGCUUUCUGGACAGUAACUGACGCUGAGGCGCGAAAGCGUGGGGAGCGAACAGGAUUAGAUACCCUGGUAGUCCACGCCGUAAACGAUGGAUACUAGGUGUAGGAGGUAUCGACCCCUUCUGUGCCGGAGUUAACACAAUAAGUAUCCCACCUGGGGAGUACGGCCGCAAGGUUGAA
rnacentral:rRNA from 1 species